rnacentral:rRNA from 1 species
GACGAACCGAGCAAACGUUGUUCGGAAUCACUGGGCUUAAAGGGCGCGUAGGCGGGUCAGCAAGUCAGGGGUGAAAGCCCCCAGCUCAACUGGGGAAGUGCCUUUGAUACUGUUGAUCUCGAGGGAGGUAGGGGCGUGCGGAACUUCCGGUGGAGCGGUGAAAUGCGUAGAUAUCGGAAGGAAGACCGGUGGCGAAAGCGGCGCGCUGGACCUCUUCUGACGCUGAGGCGCGAAAGCCAGGGGAGCAAACGGG